GACGAACGCUGGCGGCGUGCUUAACACAUGCAAGUCGAACGGUAAGGCCCCAGCUUGCUGGGGUACACGAGUGGCGAACGGGUGAGUAACACGUGGGUGACCUGCCCCGCACUUCGGGAUAAGCCUGGGAAACUGGGUCUAAUACCGGAUAGGACCGCACCGUGAGGGUGUGGUGGAAAGUUUUUCGGUGUGGGAUGGGCCCGCGGCCUAUCAGCUUGUUGGUGGGGUAAUGGCCUACCAAGGCGGCGACGGGUAGCCGGCCUGAGAGGGUGGACGGCCACAUUGGGACUGGGACACGGCCCAGACUCCUACGGGAGGCAGCAGUGGGGAAUAUUGCACAAUGGGCGGAGGCCUGAUGCAGGGACGCCGCGUGGGGGAUGACGGCCUUCGGGUUGUAAACUCCUUUCACCAUCGACGAAGGUUUUCUGACGGUAGAUGGAGAAGAAGCACCGGCUAACUACGU
rnacentral:rRNA from 1 species